GGGUCAGUAUGUUGGUCGUGCUUCGGUACGUACUGUCAUUACUGGUUUCUACCUUCUGAAGAACCACGAUGUCAUUAAUUUGGUGUCAUGGGGAAUCAGGACUGUUACUUUGAAAAAAUUAGAGUGUUUAAAGCAGGCUCGCGCUUGAAUACAUUAGCAUGGAAUAAUGAAAUAGGACGU
rnacentral:rRNA from 1 species